rnacentral:rRNA from 1 species
UACGUAGGGGGCGAGCGUUAUCCGGAUUUAUUGGGCGUAAAGCGUGCGUAGGCGGCAUGUUAAGUUUAAGAUUAAAGCCCGGGGCUCAACUCCGGUAAGUCUUAAAAACUGGCAAGCUAGAGUACGGUAGAGGCAAACGGAAUUUCUAGUGUAGCGGUGAAAUGCGUAGAUAUUAGAAGGAACACCAGUGGCGAAAGCGGUUUGCUAGGCCGAAACUGACGCUGAGGCACGAAAGCGUGGGGAGC